rnacentral:rRNA from 1 species
UACGUAGGGCGCAAGCGUUUGUCCGGAAUUAUUGGGGUCGGUAAAGAGCUCGUAUGGCGGCUUGUCACGAUUUCGGAUGUGUAAAAGCCCAGGCUUAACCUCCGGGUUCUGCAUUGAUACGGGCUAGCUAGAGUUGUGGUAGGGGGAGAUGGAAUUCCUGGUGUAGCGGUGAAAAUGCGCAGAUAUCAGGAGGAACACCGGUGGCGAAGGCGG